AUUGAACGCUGGCGGCAGGCCUAACACAUGCAAGUCGAGCGGAUGAAGGGAGCUUGCUCCUGGAUUCAGCGGCGGACGGGUGAGUAAUGCCUAGGAAUCUGCCUGGUAGUGGGGGAUAACGUCCGGAAACGGGCGCUAAUACCGCAUGCGUCCUGAGGGAGAAAGUGGGGGAUCUUCGGACCUCACGCUAUCAGAUGAGCCUAGGUCGGAUUAGCUAGUUGGUGGGGUAAAGGCCUACCAAGACGACGAUCCGUAACUGGUCUGAGAGGAUGAUCAGUCACACUGGAACUGAGACACGGUCCAGACUCCUACGGGAGGCAGCAGUGGGGAAUAUUGGACAAUGGGCGAAAGCCUGAUCCAGCCAUGCCGCGUGUGUGAAGAAGGUCUUCGGAUUGUAAAGCACUUUAAGUUGGGAGGAAGGGCAGUAAGUUAAUACCUUGCUGUUUUGACGUUACCAACAGAAUAAGCACCGGCUAACUUCGUG
rnacentral:rRNA from 1 species